UACGUAGGUGGCAAGCGUUGCCCGGAUUUAUUGGGUUUAAAGGGUGCGUAGGCGGCUGAUUAAGUCAGCGGUGAAAUUCCACAGCUCAACUGUGGAACUGCCAUUGAUACUGGUUAGCUUGAGUACAGAUGAGGUAGGCGGAAUUGACAGUGUAGCGGUGAAAUGCUUAGAUAUUGUCAAGAACACCUAUUGCGAAGGCAGCUUACUAAGCUGUAACUGACGCUGAGGCACGAAAGCGUGGGGAUCAAACAGG
rnacentral:rRNA from 1 species